rnacentral:tRNA from 1 species
GCCUCUUUAGCUCAGUGGUAGAGCGUAUCACUCGUAUGGAAAUUUCCUACAAUUAUGAUAAGGUCGUCGGAUCAAUCCCGACAGGAGGCA